rnacentral:tRNA from 1 species
GGGGUUGUGGCUCAGUGGUAGAGUGCUCACCUAGCAUGUGUGUGGUCCUGGGUUUGAUCCUCAGCACCACA